UGGGGAAUUUUGGACAAUGGGCGAAAGCCUGAUCCAGCAAUGCCGCGUGUGUGAAGAAGGCCUUCGGGUUGUAAAGCACUUUUGUCCGGAAAGAAAUCCUUGGCUCUAAUACGGUCGGGGGAUGACGGUACCGGAAGAAUAAGCACCGGCUAACUACGUGCCAGCAGCCGCGGUAAUACGUAGGGUGCAAGCGUUAAUCGGAAUUACUGGGCGUAAAGCGUGCGCAGGCGGUUUGCUAAGAUCGAUGUGAAAUCCCGGGCUCAACCUGGGAACUGCAUUGGUGACUGGGCAGGCUAGAGUAUGGCAGAGGGGGGUAGAAUUCCACGUGUAGCAGUGAAAUGCGUAGAGAUGUGGAGGAAUACCGAUGGCGAAGGCAGCCCCCUGGGCCAAUACUGACGCUCAUGCACGAAAGCGUGGGGAGCAAACAGGAUUAGAUACCCUGGUAGUCCACGCCCUAAACGAUGUCAACUAG
rnacentral:rRNA from 1 species